UGGGGAAUAUUGCACAAUGGGCGCAAGCCUGAUGCAGCCAUGCCGCGUGUGUGAAGAAGGCCUUCGGGUUGUAAAGCACUUUCAGCGAGGAGGAAGGUGGUGAGCUUAAUACGCUCAUCAAUUGACGUUACUCGCAGAAGAAGCACCGGCUAACUCCGUGCCAGCAGCCGCGGUAAUACGGAGGGUGCAAGCGUUAAUCGGAAUUACUGGGCGUAAAGCGCACGCAGGCGGUUUGUUAAGUCAGAUGUGAAAUCCCCGGGCUCAACCUGGGAACUGCAUUUGAAACUGGCAAGCUAGAGUCUCGUAGAGGGGGGUAGAAUUCCAGGUGUAGCGGUGAAAUGCGUAGAGAUCUGGAGGAAUACCGGUGGCGAAGGCGGCCCCCUGGACGAAGACUGGCGCUCAGGUGCGAAAGCGUGGGGAGCAAAACAGGAUUAGAUACCCUGGUAGUCCACGCUGUAAAACGAUGUCGAUUUUGGAGGUUGUGCCCUUGAGGCGUGGCUUCCGGAGCUAACGCGUUAAAUCGACCGCCUGGGGAGUACGGCCGCAAGGUUAAAACUCAAAUGAAUUGC
rnacentral:rRNA from 1 species